UAGCUUAGUGGUUAAAGCAAAACUCAUUAAGUUUGCAGUCAUGGGUUCAAUUCCCAU
rnacentral:tRNA from 1 species